AAUCAACGCUGGCGGCGUGCCUAACACAUGCAAGUCGAACGAGAAAGUGGAGCAAUCCACAAGUAAAGUGGCGCACGGGUGAGUAACACGUGACUAACCUACCCUGGAGUGGGGGAUAACUGAGGGAAACCUUAGCUAAUACCGCAUAAUACCUACGGGUCAAAGGAGCAAUUCGCUUUGGGAGGGGGUCGCGGCCGAUUAGUUAGUUGGCGGGGUAAUGGCCCACCAAGACAGUGAUCGGUAUCCGGCCUGAGAGGGCGCACGGACACACUGGAACUGAAACACGGUCCAGACUCCUACGGGAGGCAGCAGUGGGGAAUUUUGCGCAAUGGGGGAAACCCUGACGCAGCAACGCCGCGUGGAGGAUGAAGUACUUCGGUACGUAAACUCCUUUCGAUCGGGACGAUAAUGACGGUACCGGAAGAAGAAGCCCCGGCUAACUUCGUGCCAGCAGCCGCGGUAAUACGGAGGGUGCAAGCGUUAUCCGGAUUCACUGGGUUUAAAGGGUGCGUAGGUGGGCAGGUAAGUCUGUGGUGAAAUCUCCGGGCUUAACCCGGAAACUGCCGUUGAUACUAUCU
rnacentral:rRNA from 1 species